AACGAACGCUGGCGGCAGGCUUAACACAUGCAAGUCGAGCGGGCGUAGCAAUACGUCAGCGGCAGACGGGUGAGUAACGCGUGGGAACAUACCUUUUGGUUCGGAACAACACAGGGAAACUUGUGCUAAUACCGGAUAAGCCCUUACGGGGAAAGAUUUAUCGCCGAAAGAUUGGCCCGCGUCUGAUUAGCUAGUUGGUGAGGUAACGGCUCACCAAGGCGACGAUCGGUAGCUGGCUGAGAGGAUGAUCAGCCACACUGGGACUGAGACACGGCCCAGACUCCUACGGGAGGCAGCAGUGGGGAAUUUUGGACAAUGGGGCAACCCUGAUCCAGCCAUGCCGCGUGCGGGAAGAAGGCCU
rnacentral:rRNA from 1 species